CCUACGGGGGGCUGCGGUGGGGAAUAUUGGACAAUGGGGGGAACCCUGAUCCAGCCAUGCCGCGUGUGUGAAGAAGGCCCUCGGGUUGUAAAGCACUUUCAGUGAGGAAGAACGCCUGGUGGUUAAUACCCAUCAGGAAAGACAUCACUCACAGAAGAAGCACCGGCUAACUCCGUGCCAGCAGCCGCGGUAAUACGGAGGGUGCGAGCGUUAAUCGGAAUUACUGGGCGUAAAGCGCGCGUAGGUGGCUUGAUAAGCCGGUUGUGAAAGCCUCGGGCUCAACCUGGGAACGGCAUCCGGAACUGUCAAGCUAGAGUGCAGGAGAGGAAGGUAGAAUUCCCGGUGUAGCGGUGAAAUGCGUAGAGAUCGGGAGGAAUACCAGUGGCGAAGGCGGCCUUCUGGACUGACACUGACACCGAGGUGCGAAAGCGUGGGUAGCAAACAGGAUUAGAUACCCCUGUAGUC
rnacentral:rRNA from 1 species